ensembl:lncRNA
AGCGUCUCUUUCUUCCGCAGGAAGCGGAAGAACCGUAGGGUGGGCGGCUCUUUGUCGAAGCUAGAGGACCGGCAGGCGGCAGCAGCAACUACGGCGGCGGCGGCAGAACCCAGCAGUGAUGUGGAGGUGGAGACUCACGGGAGCCCCGGACUUCACCUGAGCUACCUCAGUCGCCAAGAGUGGCAAGAAAAGGAAGAAGACC